CAAAUUUUCCUAAAUUCAUUUACAUUGAAAAAUAUAAGUAUAAUACUUAAAUUUGA
rnacentral:tRNA from 1 species